rnacentral:rRNA from 1 species
GACGAACGCUGGCGGCGUGCUUAACACAUGCAAGUCGUGCGGUAAGGCCCUUUCGGGGGUACACGAGCGGCGAACGGGUGAGUAACACGUGAGCAACCUGCCCUUCACUUUGGGAUAACUGCCGGAAACGGUGGCUAAUACCGGAUAUGACUUCCUCACGCAUGUGGGGUGGUGGAAAGCCUUCGGGUGGUGGGGGAUGGGCUCGCGGUCUAUCAGCUUGUUGGUGGGGUGUUGGCCUACCAAGGCUUCGACGGGUAGCCGGACUGAGAGGGUGACCGGCCAAACUGGGACUGAGACACGGCACAGACUGCUACGGGAGGCAGCAGUGGGGAAUAUUGGACAAUGGGCGAAAGCAUGAUCCAGCAACGCCGCGUGAGGGAUGACGGCCUUCGGGUUGUAAACCUCUUUCGCCUGCGACGAAGCGAGAGUGACGGUAGCAGGUAAAGAAGCACCGGCCAACUACGUG